ensembl:lncRNA
AACACCUUCACCGAGACCGGCUCUGAAUCCUGUGUGUAAUCAGACCAAUGGAUGGGCAAGACGUCAUAGGCGGGUGGUCCAUGUGGAUCUGAGCAUCUCCUCUGCUAAAGUGUCAGACUCUGCUCUGUACUACUGUGCUUUGAGGCCCACAGUGACAGGAAACAAAGUAACAUAGAACAAAAAAAACAAUGACAAUAUCACUGUUUAGCAAUACCCUGUCAUGGUAACAUAAUCCAAGUUAGCCAGGAAUGUACUGUUUUUGAUGACCAGCAGAAUGUCUGGAAUUCCCUAAAUUAUUACUGGGAAUUGAAACAUGAAUUAACACACUGAAUGUCUUAAUAAAAAUGUAGCAAUGCAGUAAGGGUAAGAGGAUAGAAAAUGUCAUUAGCUCAGUAUUAAAAAACAGAAGUCAAAGCAGCUUGAUAUAAAAACAAACCUGUGUGAUUAGUGGGUGAGUGAUGUCACUAACCACACCCACUUUGCAAAUGCACAUUCGAAUGUCUACAUUCAUUCAAACUGCUGUGUCAGUGAAUUGUAUCUUCUUCUUCAUUCACAUUUAAUAAAGGGAAUCCCUAAAGUUUGUCAUUUCAGUCUCUCCCAUCUCUGCAAACAUGAUUUGGAUUAAAACUAAAUAAAUCACCCAGAAUAUUAACAUGGACAGAUGUCGACUGCUGAUUCUUAUGACAGGGGUAUUUGCUGACAGCAUUGCGCCAAAAGAAGAGGGUUCAAAUAAAACCAGGAGAGAAGGAGAAUCUGUCACGCUGAGCUGCAUAUAUAAAAGCAAAAAUAAUGUUUUGCUUUACUGGUACAGACAGUAUCCUAAUAGAGAACCUCAGUAUUUGUUAUUUAAAAGUUCUCGUCUGUCUGGUGAAGUGAAUGUAUCAUCCAAGCGUUAUAAGAUAACUACAUCUACGACAUCCACUUCACUCACCAUAAACAAUGUGAAUCUGUCAGAUUCGGCUCUCUAUUACUGUGCUCUAAAAGUAGGAGCCCAGUGAUACAAAGUCCACAGACGCUUUACAAAAACACACACAUAAUUGGCGUGUCAGUGAUCCACCACAACUAUGUUUCUUAACCCACAAGACAACAGGAUGCGGUCACACCUGCUGAAGAAACAAAAAAGUGCACCCCCACCUUUUGUUGGUUAGGUCCACCUCUUUAGGCUUCCUCAAACUUGUUGUUGUAAACUUAAUUGUAUGAACAUAUAGCAAAAUUGUGUGGUAUUUAUAUAUUUUUAUACAUUGUUAACUCCUGAUUUUUAUUACAUGUACUAUUAAAAAGUGUGGUUUACAUGCAUAACCUUUCAAAUGUUUUUUUUUUUUUUACAUUAAUAAUUAUAAUCAGCAAAGGCAUAUUCAAUUAAGCAGAAGUGACAGUAAUUACAUAACAAAAUAUUUCUAUUUCAAACAAACUGUUUACGUUUUUAAAUGGAUUUCCAUACAUUGAAGUUUAUGAAUUGCAGUUUUAAGGGGAGGGGCUACUGAGACAUUCUAAAUGGAGAAAAAAAAACGAAAUGCUUACUUCAGUAAAAGUAACAGGUGUUGCACACUAACUUGCAUAUCGUCCUGAACAAUGAUACUCUUUGUUUUUAUUUUGUUUUCUCUUGCAGGUAUGUACUGUAUUCUGUUCCAGACUGGCAGGAUUUUUGAUUAUUGCUUGCUUAUCUGUCUAUCCAUGUCUUUAACAAGCUACAUUUCUUUCUGCAGAUAAUAUUUUUGGGAAUGUCAUCACAUCGGUCCACAAUGAAGUAUACAAAACAGAAAAGGACAUUAUAUCCCUGUCCUGCAACUACUCCUCAGCAGCGAGUCUAUAUUGGUAUCGCCAAUAUCCUGCAUCGGCUCCUGAAUUUCUUUUAGUCAUUCUACAUGCAAAUGGGAAAGUUUUACAGAAGUCUGAAGUUGUGGAACUAGAUCCCCGAUUCUCAGGAAAACUGAAUAAAGAGAAAACCCACACAUAUCUUGAAAUCUCC